rnacentral:rRNA from 1 species
CCUACGGGGGUCAGCAGUGAGGAAUAUUGGUCAAUGGGCGCUAGCCUGAACCAGCCAAGUAGCGUGAAGGAUGACUGCCCUAUGUGUUGUAAACUUCUUCUAUAUGGGAAUAAAGUGCAGUAUGUAUACUGCUUUGCAUGUACCUUAUGAAUAAGGAUCGGCUAACUCCGUGCCAGCAGCCGCGGUAAUACGGAGGUUCCGAGCGUUAUCCGGAUUUAUUGGGUGUAAAGGGAGCGUAGGCGGGUUGUUAAGUCAGUUGUGAAAGUUUGCGGCUCAACCGUAAAAUUGCAGUUGAUACUGGCAUCCUGGAGUACAGUAGAGGUAGGCGGAAUUCGUAGUGUAGCGGUGAAAUGCUUAGAUAUCACGAAGAACUCCGAUUGCGAAGGCAGCUUACUAAACUGCCACUGACAUUGAUGCUCGAAAGUGUGGGUAUCAAACAGGAUUAGAUACCCUAGUAGUC